UUUUUUUUUUCCCUUUUCCUAAUAAAUUCUAUUUCUGACUUGGAAUCUCUCACUGCUUUCAAACCAGAACAUCAUUUUGGUGCCCAGCGUGGGGCUCAAACCAACGACCCCGAGAUGAAGAUUCUCCCAACUCCCAGCACAGCAUUCCCACAGCAAACCGUGUCUAGAAAUCCACUUUAUUUGGUUGUAGACAAGUCAGAAAUCCACUUUAUUUGGUUGAAGACGAGUCAGAAAUCCACUUUAUUUGGUUGAAGGCGAGUCAGUGAUGGCCAACUCGGCCCCAGAUCCCCCUGAGAACCCCGAGGAGCCGCGCCCACCCCAGCUGGGCAGCACCUGGCAUCAAGCCUGGUGGGUAUCCAGGAGAACAUUCCCAGCUGGAGCAGCUCUCCGUGGCCUGGCAGGACACGCCUGAGCUCCAGCAGCUGCUGGCACGUGGCACUGGGUGUCCCUCGUGUCCCAGGCCGGCGCAGCAGCGGGAAGGUGGAGCAGGGAGGAGCUGGGAUGUGCUGGGAGUGGAGCUGCUCCCCACCCCUGCAAGUGGCACUGGAGCCAGUCCGUGGGCAGCAGUGGUUGUGUCCCUUGGGAGGAGGAGGAGGAGGAGGAGGAGGAGGAGGAGGAGGAGGAGGAGGAAGGGGAGGAUUUUCCUGACCAAACUCCCCCCCACCAUCGCUUCCCUUUGCUGCGUGGGUCAGGAAAAAUCCGGGGAGGGAGUGGGAAGGAGCAGGACACAAAAUGGGGGAUGUGGGCAGCUGAAAGUGUCACCCCGGUCCCCUCAGGGGGCAGAGGGGAUGGCAGAGGAGGUGGCAGCUGCAAAUGUCACCCCGGUCCCCUCGGGGGGCAGAGGGGAUGGCAGGGGGCUGGCAGAGGAGGUGGCAGCAGCAGCAGCAGCAGCAGCCAUGGCCAUUCCCUGGCAGGGAAUCCGGGAAUCCCAGGGGAAGGAGGAGCUGGGAAGGGAAGGGGAGGGUCCCGGGGGUCUCGGUGCCCCCUCAGUUGAUGGGCUCACACUGGGACGGGAAGGGGAGGGUC
rnacentral:lncRNA from 1 species